AAGGUACGGGAGGCAGCAGUGGGGAAUAUUGCGCAAUGGGGGCAACCCUGACGCAGCCAUGCCGCGUGAAUGAAGAAGGCCUGGUUGUAAGUUCUUUCGGUAGCGAGGAAGGCAUUUAGUUUAAUAGACUAGGUGAUUGACGUUAACUACAGAAGAAGCACCAGCUAACUCCGUGCCAGCAGCCGCGGUAAUCCUU
rnacentral:rRNA from 1 species